rnacentral:lncRNA from 1 species
CUGAAGUGCGUGUGUGCGCGCGUGUGUGUAGUACCGGGCAUCAGCCCCCAGGACCUCACACCCCAACCCUGACAUUUCUAUUUUUAACGCCAGCAGUAGCAGCACCAAGUAACCGUGAAGGGCACCGGACUCCUCCAGUCCCCGCUGAAUCCGCACCCAGCGCCCCCCGUGUGUCCCCGGUGAACGCAGCCCACUCCGCUCCGGGCUGCAGAGCAUCCCUGCUCGGCUAAUACCACCAUGUGCUUCUUAAACAAAUAUUACAUUUAAAGUGGCCUGUUAGAAAGUAGCAGCGUGACCAACACCAAGUGCAGCCCGCGGGGCAUUUCCACCCGAGACGCGACGGUGGGGCGGGGAAGGCGGAGGCUGCCGCGCCUCCUGGGGGCACAGGCCAGCGCUCUUUGCAUCGCGGCCCACUGAGCGCAGCUCAAGUCAGCUUCUUAAGCAGGCGGUGUUUGUUGGAAGCGUCUCAGUAGCCAGCGUGGCAGUGCAGGCCUAUACUUCCAGCACCGGGAAGCCGAGACAGGAGGAUCUCAAGUUGGAACCCAGCCUGGGAAAAGAAGUGAGUUAGCAAGGCUUUGUCUCUGAAUUUAAAAAGAAAGAAAGAAGGGAGGGAGGAAGGACCGGGUAUACUCCUCCGUGCAAAGAAUCUGGAUUCAAUCCUGGGCAUCA